rnacentral:rRNA from 1 species
CCUACGGGAGGCAGCAGUGAGGAAUAUUGGACAAUGGGCGAGAGCCUGAUCCAGCCAUGCCGCGUGCAGGAAGACUGCCCUAUGGGUUGUAAACUGCUUUUAUACAGGAAGAAUAAGCCUUACGUGUAAGGUGAUGACGGUACUGUAAGAAUAAGGACCGGCUAACUCCGUGCCAGCAGCCGCGGUAAUACGGAGGGUCCGAGCGUUAUCCGGAAUUAUUGGGUUUAAAGGGUCCGUAGGCGGAUGAUUAAGUCAGGGGUGAAAGUUUGCAGCUCAACUGUAAAAUUGCCUUUGAUACUGGUUAUCUUGAGUUGUAUUGAAGUAGGCGGAAUAUGUAGUGUAGCGGUGAAAUGCAUAGAUAUUACAUAGAACACCAAUUGCGAAGGCAGCUUACUAAGUACUAACUGACGCUGAUGGACUAAAGCGUGGGUAGCGAACAGGAUUAGAUACCCUGGUAGUCCACGCCGUAAACGAUGGAUACUAGCUGUUCGGGACCUUGAGUUCUGAGCGGCUAAGCGAAAGUGAUAAGUAUCCCACCUGGGGAGUACGUUCGCAAGAAUGAAACUCAAAGGAAUUGACGGA